AUUGAACGCUGGCGGCAUGCUUUACACAUGCAAGUCGAACGGUAACAGGCCGCAAGGUGCUGACGAGUGGCGAACGGGUGAGUAAUGCAUCGGAACGUGCCCAGUCGUGGGGGAUAACGCAGCGAAAGCUGCGCUAAUACCGCAUACGAUCUAUGGAUGAAAGCGGGGGACCGAAAGGCCUCGCGCGAUUGGAGCGGCCGAUGUCAGAUUAGGUAGUUGGUGGGGUAAAGGCUCACCAAGCCAACGAUCUGUAGCUGGUCUGAGAGGACGACCAGCCACACUGGGACUGAGACACGGCCCAGACUCCUACGGGAGGCAGCAGUGGGGAAUUUUGGACAAUGGGCGCAAGCCUGAUCCAGCAAUGCCGCGUGCAGGAAGAAGGCCUUCGGGUUGUAAACUGCUUUUGUACGGAACGAAACGGUCCGGGUUAAUGCCCUGGGCUAAUGACGGUACCGUAAGAAUAAGCACCGGCUAACUACGUGCCAGCCGCCGCAGUAAGAC
rnacentral:rRNA from 1 species